AUUGAACGCUGGCGGCAGGCCUAACACAUGCAAGUCGAGCGGCAGCGGAAAGUAGCUUGCUACUUUGCCGGCGAGCGGCGGACGGGUGAGUAAUGUCUGGGAAACUGCCUGAUGGAGGGGGAUAACUACUGGAAACGGUAGCUAAUACCGCAUAACGUCGCAAGACCAAGGAGGGGGACCUUCGGGCCUCUUGCCAUCAGAUGUGCCCAGAUGGGAUUAGCUAGUAGGUGGGGUAACGGCUCACCUAGGCGACGAUCCCUAGCUGGUCUGAGAGGAUGACCAGCCACACUGGAACUGAGACACGGUCCAGACUCCUACGGGAGGCAGCAGUGGGGAAUAUUGCACAAUGGGCGCAAGCCUGAUGCAGCCAUGCCGCGUGUAUGAAGAAGGCCUUCGGGUUGUAAAGUACUUUCAGCGGGGAGGAAGGUGUUGAGGUUAAUAACCUCAGCAAUUGACGUUACCCGCAGAAGAAGCACCGGCUAACUCCGUG
rnacentral:rRNA from 1 species